CGGCACUUGGCGGUACAGCCUUCCUCCUCCAUUCCAUGGAGCGCAGCAAAAGGGCUCCAAACCGCUCAGUCUCGCCCCGGGCGGGAGCGGGGCGACCAGGAAGAUGAACGGAAGUGCACGUGCCGCCCUCUGGGAGAUGUAGUUCGGCGCCCGCCCACCCAGGCGCAGUAGCGGCCCGUGGCGGGCUUGGCCUUCGUCCUCCAUUCCCGGAAGGAGCUCGGCGUGGUAGGGUCCCAGGGUGGGAGAAAAGGCAGAGCUCAGUAUUCGAACCCCUCAGCCUAGGCCCUGGGCGGGGGCGGGGCGCACCGGAAGACGACCGGAAGCGCACGUGCUGCCUUCUGGGAGACGUAGUUAGGCGUCCCUGCGCAGGCGCAGGUUGGUUGGUGGCUGCCGUGGCCUUUGUCCUACAGUCCGGUGGAACUGCCUGCCGAGGAGCUGGCUGUUCCUGCAAGAGGCCCAAGGAGGAGGGAAUGACCGCUGGGCUCCUCACUGCCAGGGACCCGGGAGGUGGUUCAGCCACAUGGCCAGUAGGGGGACGCGCUGGACCCAGACUACCCAAGAUCAAAUCCUGGCUCAGCCCUUUCUCCCUGGGUGAUUUUGGGUGACUUCGUUGGCGUCCUCCCUGGGUGAACAGUGGUUGGAUGUGAUCACCCGUGGCCUGGGGUUAUUAAGUGAGCAAUCCACGUGCAUCUUUCAGCACCAUCUAUGUGUUUGCUCUGAAUUUUGUUUUUAAGGUUCACAAGUUUAAAGUUCUUAAUGUAUCAAAACCAUGAUAUCCUUCAUAGUGAUUUCUAGGUUGAUGAAUUGGCUUAUUUAUUUUUUUAAUAAAUAAUAUCCCAUAA
rnacentral:lncRNA from 1 species